rnacentral:rRNA from 1 species
CGUAGGGGGCGAGCGUUAUCCGGAAUCAUUGGGCGUAAAGGGCGCGUAGGCGGAUAUUUAAGUCAGGUGUGAAAACCCAGGGCUCAACCUUGGGAUUGCAUCUGAUACUGGGUAUCUUGAGGACAGGAGAGGAAAGUGGAAUUCCUAGUGUAGCGGUGAAGUGCGUAGAUAUUAGGAGGAACACCAGUGGCGAAGGCGACUUUCCGGACUGUAACUGACGCUGAGGCGCGAAAGCGUGGGGAGCAAACAGGAUUAGAUACCCUGGUAGUCCACGCCGUAAACGAUGAGUGCUAGGUGUAGGGGGUAUCGACCCCUCCUGUGCCGCAGUUAACACAAUAAGCACUCCGCCUGGGGAGUACGGCCGCAAGGUUG